rnacentral:lncRNA from 1 species
AAUAUUCUGUCUAUAAUUGAAAAUACGACAUUUGAUGUACGAGAAAAAUAAUUUUAAAAAAUAAUUUUAAAAAUAAUACGACAUUAAGUAACCUAAAGACUAACGGCUUUAGGUUAGUUUUUUAAUAUAUGAGUGGACAAUUAUAAAUGAAUAAAAGGAGUGGCCGAUUGACCAUACUCAGCUAUAAAAAGAGACCUUCGAGCUUCUUAAUGGACAUUCUUGAAAUAGUAACAUUAAAUGGCUGAAGAAGUGAUCCUUUUGGAUUUAUUUGCCAGUUCUUCUGGAAUGAGAGUGAGAAUAGCUUUGGCUGAGAAAGGGAUCAGAAAACAUGUUGAAUACAAGCAAGAAAACAUGUUGAAUAGGAGCCCUUUGAUUCUCCAAAUGAACCCUAUUCAUAAAAUGACCCCUGUCCUUAUUCACAAUGGAAAACCUAUCUGCGAAUCUCUCAUCAUCCUCCAAUACAUUGAUGACACAUGGAAUCAACACCCCCCUCCUUUGUUGCCAUCCGAUCCUUACCGUUGAUCGCAAGCAAGGGUUUGGGCUGAUUUUCUAGACAAAUAGGUAUAUUAAGAGCGUAAAUUUAUUAAUAAAGAGUGUAUCAUAUCAGUGUCUCGUAUGUACUCUCUUUUACAAAAAAAAAAAUCACAGUAGUACGAUAAUAAAAGUUCUCAAAGUUAUGCAUGUGAAAAUAUGAUGCUAAUGACCAAAGGACAAGUCCAAGAGGCAGCUAAGAAGGAGAUGAUAGACUGCUUUAAAAUUUCGGAAGGAGAGCUUGGGGAAAAGUUUUACUUUGGAGGUGAAAGCUUUGGAUUUAUGGAUAUAGCACUAAUUUCCUAUUCCUCCUGGUUUUUUACCUAUGCAACCUGUGGAGAAUUCAACAUGGAAGUUCGAGUCCCAAAGCUUAUGAAAUGGGUUCAAAGAUGCAAAGAGAGAGAUAAGAGUUUCAAAAUCCCUCACUGACCCACUCAAAGUUUAUGAAUAUGUCUUGCANNNNNNNNNNNNNNNNNNNNNNNNNNNNNNNNNNNNNNNNNNNNNNNNNNNNNNNNNNNNNNNNNNNNNNNNNNNNNNNNNNNNNNNNNNNNNNNNNNNNNNNNNNNNNNNNNNNNNNNNNNNNNNNNNNNNNNNNAAAAACUAAUUGUAAAAGCAAAAGCAACAUAACCAAAUGCACAGUAAUCCAUGGCCAAGUAGGCAUAUAAGUCUGUAAAACGCUACAAAUGAAAAAACUAAGAACUAGGAGAUAAAGGGGAAAAAAUGAAAGUUUUUUUUUUCAUUGUAAACUCAAUGUAAUAGAAGUGAAGCAUUUUGGUUACCAUUCUUAAUUUUGAAACUCACAUGAAGUUUUUACCUGAAAAAUUAAUUCAUAACAGUAUAGUUCUUAAGGAUAUUUGGCCUCCCAGACCUUCUGACUGUGCCAGAACUUGCUUUCAUGUUGAUUGAAGCUCCUUCAGACAACUUUUUGUUAGCUGCCGGGGUUAAAAUCUGAUCAGUAACUUCACCUUCAAGGGAAAAGUUCGAUGAAAGACAUUUUUCGGGCUUGUUUCUGAAAUUUCUGCACUGGACUGGAGAUUUGGAUUGGAGAUUCUCUUCCUGCUUGCUACUCAUAUUCUUUGAUCUGUACCUACUUCUUGUUACAACACCUGUACGUGAUGAAACACGAUCUCGUAUGACACCCGAUUCAUUAGAAGCACAAGCGUGCGUGGAUGAUUAGACCAAAGCCGAACUAAGAGCCCAAGAAAAUCCAAAAGAAAAUGAAGAUUUAUUUGAUUUAUACGAUGGGUCCUGAACGGGAACUGGUGGUGCAAAUAGCGAUUAAGGUAAAAGGGGUGAAAUUGAUAUAAGGUAAGUAAGAACUACGUGGGCUUUGAUUCUUCUAAACCCAAAGAGGAUACGUAGGGAACUUAAUUUUUUUUUAAACAAAAAAAAAAAAAGUUCAAGCCCAAUUUUUUUUUUAAAAUUAUGUUCAAACUUAAAAAAAAAAAAAUUCAGUUCAAAUUUUUUUUAAAAAAAAUCAUUAUGUUCAACACUCAACAAUUCAAUUCUUUAAAAAAAUAAAUUUAAUUGAAGUAUUUUUUAAUUUUUUAGGUGUAUUUUUUAAUUUUUUAUGUUCAAAUAAUUUUUUUUNNNNNNNNNNNNNNNNNNNNNNNNNNNNNNNNNNNNNNNNNNNNNNNNNNNNNNNNNNNNNNNNNNNNNNNNNNNNNNNNNNNNNNNNNNNNNGACCCGUGGGUUUUGUAAUCGGAUCGGAACCGAAACCGGAACCGGAACCGGACGGUUCGGAACCGGAAUCGAAACCGGACCAUUUCGGUUCGGUUCCGGUUCCAACUUUUCUGGAACCGGAACCGCCGGUUCCGGAACUGUGGCCAUGCUUACUGCUAUGGAUAUAAUUCAAAUGUGUAUAUUUGAAUUAGUUUGUCUCAAUUUAGCUUAUUUUAACUAUAGAGAUUCUUAUAGGGUGUGAUUUUAUUUUAUUUUGAUUAUUUCAUUUUUGUAAACUACUCUACUAUAAUUUUCAUAAUAAUAUUAAUAAGGUUCAAUUUCCCUUUUAAAUUUGGGGGCUAAAUCAUUAAAAAAAAAAAAACCCAAAUUAUGCGGGUAGUUUUAAUUAUACCCUAAAUUUAACUUUAUUCUCUUAAUACCAUGAAUUUUAACUUUAGUUAUAAUAGCACCCUAGUUUCAAAUUGUAUCCAAUAUUAAAAUAAAAAAUAAUAUUUUAUCCAUUAGAUUAGAUAUAAUUUAAUGAUAAAAAAAAUAUUAGUUUCAAAUUAUACCCAAUAUUAAAAUAAAAAAAUAAAAUGCUUUUUAUUUAUUCGUAUAAUAUUAACAACAAGUAAUGAUUUUCAAAAAAUAAAAUUAUGUCAUAAUGAAUAAAACCUAUUUUCAUAAGAGAUCUAACUUAAGUAUAAUUUCAAUAAAUCCUAACUAAAAUUUUAUGCUUAAAAAAUAGCAAAACAAAAACCGAAACUAAUAUUCUAUACUUAUAACUAACUAAAAUUUAUUAUUGUACUUGACUUUUUAUGAAUUUAAAAAAAAUUCAUAGCAAUAUUAGUUACUGUGUCGUAAAUUUUUUAUUAACAUGACCAUAAGUCCAACAAAAAUAAAUGAAAUUGAGUCCUAUUGUAACUAUAAUUGAAGUUCAAGGUACUAAGAGAAAAAAAGUUGAAUUUAGAGUACAAUUACAACUGCCCACAAAAUUUAUGAUGUUUUUAAUGAUUUAGCCAAAUUUGGGUGCUAUAUAUGGUUUAUCCAAAAAUUAAUUUUUAUGUAAUCAUUAUACUAAUUUUACAUCAAAUGAGCAAAAAGGUCAAGUUUUAACCCAAAAAAAAAAAAAAGUAAAAUAAUAAUUUUGAAAAGGUACAAACUAUUAUUUUAUUAAAAGUAAAUAAUAAAAAUAAUUAUUUCAUUCUUUUUAGCUACAAAUUUGGUCUUUGUAGUUGUUUGUUGUAAAUUUGGGACAAUAAUUAUAUAAAAAAUUAAUUUAUUUAUAAGUAAUUUGAGAGUGCAAAUUGAACUUUAUGUAAUUCAAAUUGGAGAGAGAUUCAUAUAAAAUUCUCUCAGUAUUAUCUUUCUUUCUCACUAUUCUCGCUAUGGGAAACCUUUAAAUGUAAAAACACAUGUAAAAUGUUUCUUACCAACAUAACCAUAAGUAUCUUUCCUACCCAGGUAGCGUAGACUCCGAAGCAGCCCUGCGUAGAUAAAAAUAAAAAAUUAAAAAAAAAAAAAAAAAGAAAAAGGAGGAGGAAUGAAAUUAAGACGAGGAUACGAUAAAUGGAAAGUAAGUGAUGGAAACUCUGCAGAUUAUAAAUUUAUAUUAGUAUAAAGAGGAGAGAAUGACUUGUCUGGAUUUUGUUUGUGGAUCCAAAUAAAAAAAAACGUUUUUCUAAAAACAAGAAUAUUUUAAUCAUUUAAUUGAAAAAAAAAAGUUAGUAAAUUUCGAUUGAUAUAUAGUUUUUUUUUUUUUUUAAAUUAGUCAUUGAAAACAUUUUCUAUAUAGAAUGGAUAAUUAUGGAAAAAGUUCAAAGAAUGGCGAGGAAAGGAGGAGCAGUUAUCCUUUUGGAUAAGGGCAUCUACUACUCGAAUUGUGAAGUUAUUGUAAUUAAUAGACAACGUAAUAUUUAGCUGAAGGCAAGUAUACUACUGUAAGGUUGUUUUAACAAACGAGUUGAAGGUUUUGGUUGCCGCAGGUUGUCGGGUCAGUGUUUAGGCGAAAAGGGUAGCUUAUGUUAUGGAUAUAGCCGCAAGAACUGGUGCACUGAUCAUUAUUGCUUUUGCUUUUUCUAGAACAGCAACCAUGGAGAUGGAGUAUUAUUAAAAUUGUAACUAGAAAAAGAAGGUUUGAGUAUCUGCUGAUCAUUCUGUGAACUGAUGAGACAGAGAGAAUUGAUCAUUAAAUUUGUGAUGCAGGAUUACUUUGGUCGUCGCUGGAAACUUCAAAGCGACUUCCAAUAAACAUUGCACACCACAAGUCUUCCUUUUUAAGUCAAUGCCCCAUAAGUCUUCCUUUUAAGUCAAUCCCCCAUAGCGAAAGUCUAAGAAUUAUGUGGGGUAACACAAAAAAGCAAGUCUAUUGGGAAGUCUCCUUCAAGGAAGCUGCGACGAAGCCAAAGGAAAAGGUUCAUUAAGGGAAACAUAUUGGCCCAUUGUCAUACUUCUUAUUGGACGACUAGUCUAUUCUCCGAUUAGUGCAGACCUCGCAGCACACUUUCGAGCAGGCUCCGUAGGGAAGCACUAGCUAGUAUCAGCCUAUAAUAGAGUAUCAACCGCUGCACAUAGAGCCAAAGCCACAGAGUCAUUUUUAGACAAUGCGGCCAUUGUUUCUGCCAAGUCUAUGCAUUUUCUUCACCCUAUAAUCGAGUUGUGCAUCGCUCGUGAUUACCAAAAGGUGAAUUAAGAAGUAGCAAACCUAAAGGUCAAGACAGUGACUGAAAAUAUAACUAAUGUUAUAGGACAUAGCAUACAUCCUAUAGUUGAGAAACUGGGGCCCUUUCUAUAUGGUUUUUACUUCUCAAAUAAGAUCAAUUAUUAAACUCAAUUUAUUUUUCUUAUUUCCAAGAUACAAGCCUUUUAGUAUAGGAAAUAGAAGCCAAAAACAAAAAUGAUAGGAUACAACUACUCAGAACUCAAUUGUGUGCUACAAAGCAAACCACAUCAUGAGAUAUUGAAUUCACCCUUUUUUGGCUCCAUCAACAACUGUGGCAACAAUAAACAAAUAACAUCUCUGGAGUCUGGACCACUGCAAUCAGCCAUAAGAACCUGAUAAUCAAAUAUAUAAGGAAACAUCUUGAGACUAGAUCACAGAGGAACACUCUUCUAACAUAUGAAUCAUGAAGACUUUUUUAGCAUGUUGGACACAUUCCAGACACUAAAACCCUUGGAAACAUCUUAACACUUCAAAAAAGUUUCACUAUAUUUCUUUAAUUUUGGCAACCCUAUGUAAACUCUAGAGGUUAAUUCACAAUUUAAAAUUUUAAGAUGGAUUUCAAUUACUACUUCACAAAACCCAACUUGUAUUUUUCCGAUCAUGCAAUCAAUUAAACUAACACAUUACUUACAAACCAAUACAGGAUUUUAAAUUCACAAAAGCAAAAUGCAGAUUGAGAAAGAUUUUUAGUGAAUCUUAAGAGCAUUAAUUGGCAAAAUUCUCAAACUGGAAGUUGGGAGAGAUUUUUUUUUCCCCAAGGAAGGAUGUUGAGAAAGAUGGACAGAGGAAUAACCCUGUAAACAAGUGUUUCAGGGUCCCUAUCAGAUGCAAAGAAAUUCUUAACUUUAGGUUCAGCAAGGAAAUUGUAUGACAUAAGAUUUUUACUGUUUCAUUAGCUAGAUCAACCCAAUUCAUUUUAGCAAGAAAGAUCCAAUUUUUCUACCAGGAAAUGGCUUAAGACAUCAUCAUUUGUUGAAAGACACAUAGCAUACUUACAAACUCUGAAGCAAAAAUAUACAAUUACAUUUCAUAUUUAUGUUAGCAUCAUCAAUUGAAGAACCAUGUUGGCUAGAGCUAUUUAAUUCUUGCAGUUCUAAACUCUAAAGGAAUGUUAAAUUCACAAUAAAUUUAUUAACUCUAAGACCUCCCAUGAGCAUUCUGAUGGUAGAAAAAUAUUUUGUUCACUCAAAAAUAACACAGUCACCAUACUAAACUCAUCAAGUUCCGAAAUGCAAGUGUAUCAAGGAAUCCUCAAAAGUUAAUACUCACCAACAGAGUAGCCAAAAUAAUUAACACAAGCAAUCAGAACACUAUAAAGAAGUGCAUCAACAUACCAACACUUUAUCCAAUAAUAUAAUUUCUAAUAAUUCCUAAUUAAAAUAGAAAAAAAAAAACAAGUUGGAUUUUGAUUUUUGGUUUAAUUUUUUGAUUUCCUAUAAAGUCUAUUUCUUCUAAUUUCUUCUCUUUCAAUUAAUUUUAUUCAAUGAAAAAAAUUAAUCUACUUCUCAAAAAAAAAAAAAAAAAAAAAUCUAAUUCAUGAUAAUAAAUUUAUUUUCCCCCUUCAAUGCUUCUCUUUAGAUUUUUUUUUUUUAUACAACUUUGAGAUUGAAAGGAAUUCUGUGUUAGUUAAUUGUUAUUCUCAUUAAUUUAGUAAAAUAUUUUAUGAUUAAUAGUUAUUACAUAUUAAUUGUUAUUCUCAUUAAUUUAAUUAAUUAUUAGUCAACAAUUAUGUUUCUUUUCUUUGCGGUUUCUUUGGCAAAAAUAUUUUCUUCUUUCUUUUUCUAUUUUGUGUAAAAAUAUUUUAAUAAAAUCAUUUAAAAAGACCAAGAAAUUAUUGCUGAACAAAUUGACAGUCACUUCCAUUUUUAAAUAUUAAUUUAAAUAGUAAUAAGUCAAUCAAAAGUAAGUGGGAAAUUUCGCAAUAUAUAUAUAUAUAUAGAGUAAUAAGUCACUUCCAUCAUUUGUCUUUAAGGUCAAAACCAACCACUCUAGUUCUACACAAAAAUGCCAGUAAAAUUUGGGCCAAACCACCCAAAAAAAGGUCCAGGGGAUUGUGAGAUUGUGUUACAGACAGAGUCUUCCAUGAAGUGGAACUAAGCCAGAUAUUGUAGCAAGAAUGUUCAGCAUUAUAACCUCAUCAUCAAGUUCAUGGAUCGCUACCGAGGCAGAAGAGUUCCUGUGUACUGCAGAAUCAAAAAGAAGUGAAACUAACCUUUUGAAUAGGUCCACAUGUAAGUCCUGUAAAAGAAUACUAUCUGGCUCCGGAUCUAAAAUUUUUUUGGUUUAGAGAUGGGUAGGUGUGCAAUUCCGUUUGCAUGACUGUAGAGAGUGCAUUUUCAUUUGAUGAUAAGCUUUUUGUCCUUUCCAUUAAAGAAGGAAAAGAAAAUUAUAAUUUUCAGUUUAUCCAUACUAUUCUUUUGUUUGUUUCUAUUCUCUAUCAUUGCACAAUGGAUCUUAUGAAAUGAAUGAUUUGUUCUUAAGACACCCUGAGGCUUUCUUUUUUAUUUUUAUUUUUUAUCUUUUAAGUAACGGGGGAAGGGGAUUUGAAUUUGGACAUGCCCAAGUCUUAUAUGUACUAUUGGUUGUUCUGAGGCUGAAGCGGUGAAUUUUUUAUUUAUAAUCUACAUAUUGAGAAUGUUAAUUUUAAUUGUAUGCGUAGAUAACUAAGUUUUUGAUUUUUGGUUUUUGAUGUUAUGGUAUAUAAUUAGAUUUCCCAAAUGGAACAUAAACCAAAUAAUAAUAAUAAUAAUAAUAAAUGGACUGUUGGUAAGUUAUGCAUUCUACUCUUAAGAGUAUUUCUUAUGAGUAAUGAUACGAGGACUAACCCAGCAAGUCUUUUUGAUCGGAAAUUGUUGGCCAAUUUUUUUUUUUUUUUUCGUGUUUAUUUAUUUAUUUAUUUAUUUUUUUGAAAAGAAGAGAACUCAUAUAUUAUAGUUGAGAAUAGAACUCAAUCAAUACAUCCGGGAUAUUAACCCAUAGUUGAAACCUACUAUGGCGAAUAGAGUUACGCGCUAACAGAUGGGUACACUCAUUCUCUGUGCGUCUAAUCCAAAAAACUGUAAUAUCUGGCCUAGUAAGAAGCAAGGUCUUAUAAUCCGAUACAAUCAACCCAAAAUUAAAACUAUCCUCACUCAUUGAGUUCAAAGACAAAUAUAAAGAUUGACAAUCAGUAAAAAUGCAACCAGGAUCAAGUAAAGAAACAGAGACGUAAAGCAAACAUUGCCUCAAUGCAAGAGCUUCCACAAUCAACGGAUCAUCACCACCUUCCUGAAAGCCCGAAAUAGCUAACGAAAAAUGACCUUCAGCGUCCUCAAUAGCCAAGCCAAAACCCACAAAAUCCGUUGCCCGAAAAACUGUACCAUCAACAUAAGCAAGCCAAUUAGCUGGAUGUUCAAUAUGGGCUGGUUGGGCAGGAGCAUAUGCAGCGUGUGUUAUUGCCGUUGCUGCUUGUGAUGAAGCUGAUGCAGCCCAAUAAUCAUCUAGAAGCAGGCGAGCAGUAUGAGAAAUUUGCCAAGGGUUCGACCAGACAUUGGACCACAACAUAGCAUUCCUAGCAGCCCAUAAACUCCAUGCAACGGUAGCCAUCAGCUCGGCAUGUUGCUGUCCCUUUGAAGAGAUUAUAUGAAUGAACAGUUCCUGAAAAGACAAAUUUAUAUUAGCAAAAAGAAAACCAGCCUGCCUCCACACCUCUUGCGCAAUGGAGCACUUGACCAGUACAUGAUCCCCAUUCUCAGAUUCCUGGCAAAACAAACAGUGAAGUGAAGUAGUAACACCCCUCUUCGAUAAAUUGUCUCGAGUGGGGAGCACAUUACGACCCAUAUGCCACAUAAAAUCGCGGACUUUGGGGGAAACAUUAAGCUUCCAUAUCUGCUUCCAUAGCACAUCGGCACCGCCACCACCAUAUCGAAGCAAACGGUAAGCUACAUGAUAAGCAGUUUUGACAGGGUAAAGGCCUUUCCGGUCAAAAUGUCAUAUUAAUUUAUCAUGAUGGGUAUAAAAGCUUAAUGGGAUACUCAAAAUUUUCCUCAUAUCAUUUAGAGUAAAAAGAUGAAUGAUCUUCGAGAUAUCCCAUUUCCUCGCACCUGCAACAAAAAGAUCACACACCCGUAAAGCAUCAGGAAUAAAAGGAGCACCAUCCUCCACAUAGGCGUUGGUCUCACGAGGAAUCCAUGGAUCUCUAUUCACAUAUAUACUCCUCCCAUCUCCUACCCUCUAUCUCAUGCCCUGUUGCAACACCUGUUUAGAGAACAAAACUCUUCCAGACAUAGCUACAACCCGAUCUAGGAGUAGCAGAUAGAAAAUCCCCCCUAGGGAAAUAUUUAGCUUUGAAAACACUAUACGCAAGAGUGUUGGUGUCAGUUAAUAACCUCCACCCCUGUUUCCCUACCAAAGCAGUGUUGAAACAUCGUAAGUCCCUAAACCCCAUCCCAUCGAUAGACUUCUUACUACACAUGCGAUCCCAAGCAAUCCAAUUAAUACCCCUAUGGUCCCCCUUACCAUUCCACCAAUAUUUAUUAAACAUCACCUGCAUCGCAUUUGUUACAGAUACUGGAAGCAAAAAUACAUUCAUGCAAUAAGCUGGUAUUGCUUGCGCUACAGAUUUGAUUAGAACUUUGCGUCCAGCUCUAGAAAGACAGCGGCUAUUCCAAUUAUUCAUUUUCUUCCACACCCUAUCCUUGAGAAAAGAAAAAAUCUAUUUUUUAUUCCUCCCGAUCAACCAUGGCAACCCCAAAUAAUUACUAUUCCCAAGAGGUAAAGAAACAUUUAAAUGCCCAGAAUAGCCCGACUAACAUGUCCAGAAAUAACAGGACUAAAGAGAAUGCCAGACUUAUUAAGAUUAACAGAUUGACCUGAAGCAGCUUCAUAAGUACCCAGAAUAGCCUUAAUUUCCAUAGCCUCCUGGACAGUACCCCCAAAAAAGAGCAAAGAGUCGUCGGCAAAGAAUAAAUGUGAUAUCCUAGGACACCUAUGUCUUGCCCGAACUCCAUGAAUUAAACCACGACGUUCCGCAUCUUUAAGCAACAAUGAUAAGCCCUCGGCUACAAACAAAAAUAGACAUGGAGAGAUUGGAUCCCCUUGCCGCAGCCCCCCAGAAGGAAUGAUGGGGCCCACUUGCUUAUCAUACACUCACACUUUGUACUCAAUAUCCAUCAAACACAUUUACAUCCAUUUCAACCAUAUAGCAUCAAACCCCAAAGCAGUGAUCAUAUCAGACAAAUAGUCCCAAUUAACUAGGUCAUAAACUUUGGCAAUAUCAAUUUUAAGGGCACAAGCACCAUUCUGACCCCUAGCUCUACGCCGUAAAUUGUGGAUAAGCUCAUAAGCCACCAUAAAGUUAUCAGUUAUCAAACGACCCGAAUAAGCAGACUGAUUUUUAGAAAUCAAUUUAUGUAGUAUAUUUUUCAAUCUGUUAGCUAAUGCUUUCGACAAAAUUUUAUAUAAAACAUUGCAAAGAGCUAUGGGCCGAAAAUCUUUAACUGACACUGGAUUUUCACACUUUGGAAUUAAAACAAUUAAAGUAUCAGUUAAAGAUCUAGGAAAAGGACCUUGGGCUAACCAUAAUCGACAGCUAUUCGAGAUAUCCACGCCCAAUAAACUCCAAUUCUUUUGAAAGAAAGCCGGGUUCAGUCCAUCUGGUCCAGGCGCUUUAUCUGGGUUCAUUUGAAAAAGAGCAGUUCGAAACUCCUCAUCCAAAAAAGGUUUGGUAAGCUCUGCAUUAUCAUUAUGGUCGACCAAAGGCUGAACCAAUCUAAUAAUUUGGCUUCGAUUUGGAGCGGCUGCUUUGCGGAAAAGAGCAGUAAAGUAAUCCUUCACCUGAGCUUGAAUACCAUCUUCAUUGUACACCCAUGCACCCGAAACAUCCUGUAGCCGUUCAAUACGAUUACAGCACCGUCUAGCCUUGAUACUGUUGUGAAAAUAUUUUGAAUUCUUGUCCCCAUUUCUCAACCAAAACACUUUAGCCUGCUGCCUCAAACGAACUUCAUCUUCUGCCAAUAAUCUAUUCCACUCUUCCUUUAGUUGUUUAAUAGUUAGCGUGUCCAGUGUGUCAAUUUCACGUUCAAGUUUCUGUUGCACAAAACGCUUCUGCCCCCACCUGGUUCGGUUUCUCUCUUUUCCCCAUAGCCAAAUGUCUGCAAUUAAUCUAUCCCUCCGCAACACAAAAUCCUCUCCAGUCGAGCUUCGCCAAGAGUAUGAGACCACACCAUAAAGACCAUCAUCUAACAACCAAGCAUUAUCAAAUCUAAAAUUACGAUUUGUGUAGCCCAACGAGCUAAUCGUAUCAACCAAAAGUGGAGAAUGAUCAGAGACCGGAGCCACCAAAGUAGUAUAAAUUGCAUUCGAGAUCAUAUCCACCCAUGAUGGUGUAGCAAAAGCUCUAUCUAACUUCUCUCUCACACGAUUCGGAAUGUUUUCCCUGUACACAUAAGUAAACAAAGAUCCAAUUGUAAGGAUAUCAGACAAGUUAGCAUCCAUCAAAGCCUCCCGAAACCCAUUGAUCAAACCAGAUGCACGUGGUGGUCCCCCAUCUUUCUCAUAAUCUGCUGCAACAUCAUUAUAGUCUCCUGCACAUAGCCAGGGUAAACUACUACGAACUGCAAGAGAACGUAAUAAAUUCCAUGAGUCACGUGGUGGUCCCCCAUCUUUCUCAUAAUCUGCUGCAACAUCAUUAUAGUCUCCUGCACAUAGCCAGGGUAAACUACUACGAACUGCAAGAGAACGUAAUAAAUUCCACGAGUCCCAUCGUCUUGUACUUUCAGGGUACCCAUAAAAUCCUAUGAAUCUCCACAUACCAUUCGAACCCUGGAUUUCGCAGUCAAUGAAAUUACUAGAAUAGUGCUUAAUUGAUAACUGGACAGAUUUAUGCCAUAAAAUAGAAAGUCCACCCCCAAUUCCAAUACUAUCGACUGAAAAACAGAAAUCAAACCGUAAAAAAGAGCGUACACCAUCCAUUCGAAAUCGCUUUUUCGUGUUUAUUUAAAACUUAAAAUUAAAAAAUAAAAUUGAUUAAAUAUUAAGUAAAAAUCGCUUUUUAUUAUUUUCAAGUAGAAUAACUGAUUUUUCUAUUUACCCUAUUAAAUAAAGACAAUAAAAAUAUUUUCAUUACAAUACAUCAUUCUUUAACAAUGAACAUUCUGCCUAGAAUUGAAAAUACGACAUUUGAUGUAUGAGAAAAAUAAUUUUAAAAAAGAAGAACUUGGAGAUGAAGAAAAAGACUAACGGCUUUAGGUUAGUUUUUUAAUAUAUGCGUGCACAAUUAUAAAUGAAUAAAAGGAGUGACCGAUUGACCAUACUCAGCUAUAAAAAGAGACCUUCG